rnacentral:rRNA from 1 species
AGGCGACGAUCCCUAGCUGGUCUGAGAGGAUGACCAGCCACACUGGAACUGAGACACGGUCCAGACUCCUACGGGAGGCAGCAGUGGGGAAUAUUGCACAAUGGGCGCAAGCCUGAUGCAGCCAUGCCGCGUGUAUGAAGAAGGCCUUCGGGUUGUAAAGUACUUUCAGCGGGGAGGAAGGGAGUAAAGUUAAUACCUUUGCUCAUUGACGUUACCCGCAGAAGAAGCACCGGCUAACUCCGUGCCAGCAGCCGCGGUAAUACGGAGGGUGCAAGCGUUAAUCGGAAUUACUGGGCGUAAAGCGCACGCAGGCGGUUUGUUAAGUCAGAUGUGAAAUCCCCGGGCUCAACCUGGGAACUGCAUCUGAUACUGGCAAGCUUGAGUCUCGUAGAGGGGGGUAGAAUUCCAGGUGUAGCGGUGAAAUGCGUAGAGAUCUGGAGGAAUACCGGUGGCGAAGGCGGCCCCCUGACGAAGACUGACGCUCAG